UACGGAGGGGGGCUAGCGUUGUUCGGAAUUACUGGGCGUAAAGCGCACGUAGGCGGCUUUGUAAGUUAGAGGUGAAAGCCCGGGGCUCAACUCCGGAAUUGCCUUUAAGACUGCAUCGCUAGAAUUGUGGAGAGGUAAGUGGAAUUCCGAGUGUAGAGGUGAAAUGCGUAGAGAUGUGGAGGAACACCAGUGGCGAAGGCGGCUCUUUGGUCGU
rnacentral:rRNA from 1 species